UAUCGUAAUAUGUUAAUUUUGGGCUGAUGGUUGAUUGUGUUGAUGAACAGAAUGAUGGAGGGAUAAUAACUCAAGCAACUCAUGCUCCCACUGGGUUGACUCAUCAGCUGACGUCAGGCGGACACGAAUAAGUGAAAGAAUGAGGAAGCUGCAAGAUCUUGUCCCAAAUAUGGAUAAGUAAACGAGAACCGCAGACAUGUUGGAUUUGGCUAUUGAGUAUAUCAAAGAACUUCAUAAUCAAGUUAAGACUCUUUCAGACCGUCAAUGAAAGUGAACAUGUCCACAUAAGCCGAAGUCGUCCUUCUCAAGGCUCCAUAUGUCAACUCACUAAUCCACUAUAAGCUGAUCCUUUACUUUGUUAGCAUUACAAAUUUCAGUCUUAAGCUUAUCGAUAAUAGUUGUUACUUGUAGCUUAAAACCGAUUCAGUUUGAUGUCGAAAGCGGUGCAAUGAAUCUGUUUGAUGUCAAAAACAGUACAAUGUCGUAAGCAUUGGAGAAGUGGAUUUUGAAGCUGAGGUGGCCAGUGACUGGAGCAGCUGCUUGGGAUGUGUAAUGGUUGUCUGCCCGUGUGUUGGGCAUUUAUCAUGACUUACCCUAUGAACGUUGUUUAAAACUGUUUAUUUAUGCUUCCGCUACUUAUUACUGUUUGAACUUGAAACCUUAAACUCUGAACUUGAUAUUUGCUAAUCUUAUGGUUAGUAAGUAUUACUUUUUAUUAUCAGUUUAAUCAUUCAGUAUGAUUGGUGGCUGGAUCCUGGUCAGUCACGCCCUCAAAGCGGGUGUCAUCCGCGGGUGGAUUUUGGGGGUGCGACAGAAACCACUGUUGUAAUCAAAUUGGGCUUGGAUAAUACAGUGGUUGAAACCACUGUUGGGUUAAAAUUGUGGUUUGAAACCACUGUUCAGCUAAAACCGUGCCUUGUGGAGAAAACAGUGGUUGAAACCACUGUUGGGUUAAAACUCUGGUUUCAAAACACAGUUUUAACUCAACAGUGGUUUCAAACACUGUUUUCUCCACAAAACACUGUUUUAACGCAAUAAAAUAUUACCCAAAAGUUGUUUAGACCACUGUUUUCUCCAAGCCCAAAACUGGCCAAACCUCAAGGACAAAAAUGACAUUUUACUCUUCUAGAAUUUUUGUAACCUUUGAAGUUUAUAUGCACAUUUUUUUAAAAAUUUUUUGUUUGAUGAAUUUUUCUUAUUCAUCAACGUCUUUACUAUGUAGAUAAAUGGGUCUGAAGUGGCAUUGCUCUCCUUAAUUAAAAGUGACGAUGAUCUCAGGGUUACAGAAUAUUUUCUAUCACUUCAUGAUAAAGUUCUUGCGGCCGCAGUAGAAGCUGUGAUUGGCAGUUCUCAUAAUCAAAAGAAAAAACAGGGUAUCCCCGGUGCGCUUGUGAAUAUUCUUAAAGGAUUUAAAGGAGGAAAACCUAAUAAGAACAUCAACGUUUCUGAAGAUUUUAAAUAUGGUUUUAGCAAUCUGGAUGGAAUCUUUUCAAAGAAUCCAUUUCCCGAUCCACUUGAAAGUUUCUGAUGAUUUUAAAUAUGGUUUUAGCAAUUUGGAUGGAAGACAUGUGAUGUUAUUCCUUUUUACACUGGAUUUUAUGAUCUUUUCUAUUUGCUUCAUUUUUUUGUUCUUAUUUUGGAUGAAAUUACAUGUGGAUAUUGCAUUAUCUCUUCAUGUUAUACAGGUUUAAGAGAAGAAAAUUAAGAAAAUUGCAAGCAUGAACAUGGACCCUUCAAAAGUUGCUGGAAAGAACAAUAUUGCCUGUUCAAGUGAUUCUUCAAUUAUUAAUUCUUAUCUUGUAAACGAGGGAUGCAAAGAUAAAUAUGUUUCGUAACGUGUCAAUAUGUUU
rnacentral:lncRNA from 1 species